rnacentral:lncRNA from 1 species
UAUAGCCCUGAUGGACGGAGGCGCGAUAAGUCAUCUGAGAGAAGCUAUGACAAAGGACGAUCCUUGAGUCCCUACCGGAGGGAGAGAGGUAGUCCUGAUUAUGGUCGUGGCUCUAGCCCAAGUGCCUACAGAAGAGAGAGAGCCAGUCCUGAUUAUGGCCGUGACCCUAGCCCUAGUCCACGUCGAAGAGAUAGGGCUAUCCCUGAUCAUGGCCGUAGUCGUAGUCCUAGUCAUCAUCGAAGAGAGAGGACUAGCCAUGAUUCAGCUCGUGGCCCCAGCCGGAGUCCAUAUCGAAGUGAAAGAAGUGACAGGGCCAUUCCUGAUUAUGGCCGCGGUCGCAGUCCAAGUCCUGGACGGAGAGAGAAGAUUAUGCCUGACUAUCCGGACAGACCCAGUCUGAGUCCUGAGCGAAAAGAGAAGACAGGACGAUCAGAGAAGGCUAUUCCUGAUUAUGGCCGUGGAGCUAGCCCAAGUUCCCCUCGUCGAGAGAGGACUAACUCUGAUUAUGUUCGUGCCAAUAGCCGCAGCCGCAGUCGCAGCCAGAGCCAAAGUCCACGACAAAGAGAGAGGACUAAGCCUGAUUAUGGCCAUGAAAGGAGUGUGAGUCCUGAACAAAGAGAGAAGGCCAAUCCUGAUUAUGGGCGUGGUCCUAGCCGAAGUUCCCCACGUAGAGAGUAUGACCGUGGUCCCAGCCAAAGUCCCCAGCAAGGUGAGAGGGCCCUUCCUGAUUAUAGCCGUGGCCCCAGCGACAGUCCAUAUCAAAGAGAGAGUAUCAGUCCUGACUAUGACCGUGGUCCCAGCCCAAAUUCCAAGCGUGAAGAGAGGGACAGUCCCAAUUAUGGUGGAUCUGCAAGCCCCAUGAAUGGGAGAUACCGGAG